AUCUACAGCCAUGCCACUCUGAACGAGCCCGAUCCUGGCUGAUCUCAGAAGCUAAGCAGGGUCGGGCCUGGUUAGUACUUGAAUGGGAGACCACCUAGGAAGACCACCUAGGAAGACCAGGUGCUGUAGGCA
rfam:Pteropus alecto contig34162, whole genome shotgun sequence.